AUGACAAGGUUUCUUUACCCUUGCGUGAUCAUGAUUUGACCACAGAAGAGGUUAAACAUCUUUGUGAUGAUCUGCGUAUUUUGGGAAAACCAGACUUCAACCAUAUAUUGAAGUGGCGGAUGCAAACAAGAAAGGUCCCGUCUUCAUCUCAGAAGGCCAGUCGUUCUAUUGAAAAGGAUGGUGAAGAUAAA